AUGCUUUGGCAGCACAUAUACUAAAAUUGGAACGAUACGGAGAAGGUUAGCAUGGCUCCUGCACAAGGAUAACAUGCAAAUUCAUGAAGCACUGCAUAUUUUA
ensembl:snRNA U6 U6 spliceosomal RNA